AUAUAUAACUCUGAAAUAUAUGAAAAAUGAUUCUUCCGAAAGGAACGGCUUUGCUAAUUAAAACCCGUUUUUUGUAUUGCAAAAUUUGCGCAGUAAAAAUACAAACACACUUUUUACUCUUGUUUACGUUUUCUAAAUAAAAAAUUAUCACACAUGUGAAGCUACUGGUCAAGGGAGCGUGACUACAACAACUACACAACGUCCUAUCGGAGGUUUUACAUCAACUACGAAAAGAUAUUCAACCGAUAGACCAUAUCCAACACACAAACCAAAUGACAACACAGGCAACUAUUCAUCUAACAGCAGGACGGCAGUCGUAAGCAUUGCUGUUGGUGCUUCAGUUGCAUUUUGAGCAGUGGGCAUUUUUGUUUUGUGUGUGAUUUUUGUGGUUUUGAAACAAAGAUGAAAACGUGAUCACAUAAGAAGGAAUGUCCCAAUCACUGCCCCCAACUUGCUGAUAGCUGGGAAUAGUGGACAGGCACGAGAAAAUCUAAUAUAUUAUGUAGGAGAGAGAGGAACAACCAUAGUGCCUAACUCGCCACAUGGUUAUACAAAUGUAAGUUUCACUAGCAACCAAAAUGUGACCAAUAGUAAUCCGGAAUAUGCUACACCGCCACCUUACUCAACGUGUGUUGUUUCUAAUCAAUCAGGAAGAGUUUUGUCAGCACCAUCUGACUCUGCAGUACAUUCUCCAGAAAUUCAACAUCUCAGCAAAAACGCUGAGGUAAAUAGAUAUAUGUGUGCCAAUGCUCCGUGUUGAAGACCGUUCUUUGACCUGUUAUGGUUCAAUUUUACAGUUUGUGACUUGAAUUGAGAGUUGUCUCUUUGGCACUCAUACCACAUCUUCAUAUAUGAGGUACAUAGAUAUAUGUGAGCCAAUGCUCCGCGUUGAA